UAUAUAUAUAUAUAUAUAUAUAUAAAUAUAGUCAAAUGAAAGAAUGUUGUUUAGUUUAACAACUGACAUACAUGAAAUUGAGAAGAAAAUGAAAAAGAAAUGACUGCAGUGGUGAGUGUUGUGAUUUAAACCUGUACAUUGAAGUUCACCUGAGUUCAGUCCCUGUUUUCACCAAACCCCUCAGGUCAUGGCGUUCGACUGUUUCAUCGACUGAUCCCAGUUCUUUUACGUCUGACAUUGUCCUGAACGUUUCAGUGGAAGGCAGUAACAUUAAAUCUUUUCUGAAGCUUUUUGGUUUGUGUUGUGUUUAAUGUCUAGACGCAGAUCAGUAAAACCCACUGCUCGCAUUGGUGUCCUGAUUGGGGUCCUUCAGGUUUGUGUUUUUGUGCAAGUUCUAGAUCCUGUCUAGACGUGGCUGUGGUGUCAUCUCAUUUGUUGAUGGUUCAGACUCAGAGGAUGUGGUGGUUAACAGUAUCAAAUGCUGCAGUGAGGUCAAGGAGAAUGAGCAGGGAAGGGGUACCUGCAUCAACAGCCAUUCAAAUGUUGUGAAUGACCCUAACUAGUGCAGUGUCUGAGCUGAGGGCCGAGUGGAAGCCAGACUGGAAUUGUUCAUAGAGGGAGUGAAGUUGGAGAUGGUCAUGUAGCUGUGAGGCAACAGCUUUUUCCAACACCUUAGAGAGAAAAGGGAGAUGAGAAACGGGCCAGAAAGUGGAGAGGAGACCAGCGACCAAAUUGGGUUUUUUCAGAGAAGGUUUGAUGACAGCAGUUUUAAGUGAAGACAGAAAUUUCCAGACUGUAGUGAGUGGUUUAUAGUUAGUGUAAUAAGAGGGCUAAUGGCAGGCUGGGUUCGAUUUGAUGAGGGCUGUAGGGAAUAGGUCAAGUGCAGGUCAAUGGUUUAAUUUUUUGAUGAGACUUUCAACUUCGCUCCAUCUGACCUCAACAAAGACAUUGCCACACAGAGGUUGUAUGUGGUGCAGAUGAUGGAGAACAAGGGAUCGAGUUUGAGAAUUGAAACCAGAUUAUGUUGAUCUUAUCUUUGAAAAAUAUAAGGAAUUUGUCUCACUGUCCAGCUAUGGGAUCCAUGUGGCUUUGGCUUCAGGUGUUGAGGAGGGUGGUUUAUUAUUGAAAAAAAAACCUGUUUGGAGUUCCUGAACUGUGAUUGAUGAUGUUGGAGUAGAAGUUGGACCAAGCCUCCUUAAGGGACUUACAUAGACUUUCUGAUGUUGAUUAAAAUGCCAGCCUAUGUUACAGAGACCAGAUGACGGCUGUUCUCCUCGAUUGCACAGCCAGUAGCUUUUAUAAGCAGUAGAAGUAGGUUGAGUCGGUUCUGCAGAAUUCUUCAGUUGUUUUUAUCACUAAUAAAAAUACAGUCAGAUCAUUU